UGGGGAAUAUUGCACAAUGGGCGAAAGCCUGAUGCAGCAACGCCGCGUGAGUGAUGAAGGCCUUCGGGUUGUAAAGCUCUGUCUUUUGGGACGAUAAUGACGGUACCAAAGGAGGAAGCCACGGCUAACUACGUGCCAGCAGCCGCGGUAAUACGUAGGUGGCAAGCGUUGUCCGGAUUUACUGGGCGUAAAGGAUGCGUAGGCGGAUUUUUAAGUGAGAUGUGAAAACCCUAAGCUUAACUUGGGGACUACAUUUCAUACUGGAAAUCUAGAGUGCGGGAGAGGAGAAUGGAAUUCCUAGUGUAGCGGUGAAAUGCGUAGAGAUUAGGAAGAACACCAGUGGCGAAGGCGAUUCUCUGGACCGUAACUGACGCUGAGGCAUGAAAGCGUGGGUAGCAAACAGGAUUAGAUACCCUGGUAGUCCACGCCGUAAACGAUGAGUACUAGGUGUAGGAGGUAUCGACCCCUUCUGUGCCGCAGUUAACACAAUAAGUACUCCGCCUGGGAAGUACGAUCGCAAGAUUAAAACUUAAAUGAAUUGACGGGGUCAUAGCUGUUUCC
rnacentral:rRNA from 1 species